rnacentral:rRNA from 1 species
UACGGAGGAUGCGAGCGUUAUCCGGAUUUAUUGGGUUUAAAGGGUGCGCAGGCGGAUUUUUAAGUCAGCGGUCAAAUCGUGGGGCUCAACCCCAUCCAGCCGUUGAAACUGGGGGUCUAGAGUGUGCGAGAGGUAUGCGGAAUGCGUGGUGUAGCGGUGAAAUGCAUAGAUAUCACGCAGAACCCCGAUUGCGAAGGCAGCAUACCGGUGCACAACUGACGCUCAGGCACGAAAGCGUGGGUAUCGAACAGG